rnacentral:rRNA from 1 species
GGGAACCUCACCCGGCCCGGACACAGCGAGGAUUGACAGACUGAGAGCUCUUUCUCGAUUCGGUGGGUGGUGGUGCAUGGCCGUUCUUAGUUGGUGGAGCGAUCUGUCUGGUUAAUUCCGAUAACGAACGAGACCCCAACCUGCUAACUAGCCCUCGGGUCCUGCUUCUGUUGGGCCCGACGGAAUGAUUCGCUUCUUAGAGGGACUCGCGGCGCCUAGCCGCACGAAGGGGGGCGAUAA